GUAUUUACCUGGCAGGGGAGAUACCAUGAUCACCAACGUUUUCCCAGGGUGAGGCUUAUCCAUUGCACUGCGGGUGUGCUGACCCCUGUGACUUCUCCGAAUGCGGGAAACUCAACUGCAGAACUUGUGGUAGUGUGGGACUGCGUUCGUGCUUUCCCCUU